ensembl:snoRNA T21H8.11 ncRNA
ACUGGCAGGAGCGUUAUUCGGUUUCUUCCUCACAUUUUUUCUCAUAUUUCUUCCGUAUUUUUUGUUAUUGGAUUUUUAUUAUCUUUUGAUGACUUAAAUUUGAGUUAAUAAACUUUGAAAACAAAUUUUUAAACAUUAAAAAAAAAACUUUUCGUCGUUUUGUCUCGGAUUUUGAAUAUG